rnacentral:rRNA from 1 species
AUUGAACGCUGGCGGCAGGCCUAACACAUGCAAGUCGAACGAGUGGCGGACGGGUGAGUAAUGUCUGGGAAACUGCCCGAUGGAGGGGGAUAACUACUGGAAACGGUAGCUAAUACCGCAUACCAUCGGAUGUGCCCAGAUGGGAUUAGCUAGUAGGUGGGGUAAAGGCUCACCUAGGCGACGAUCCCUAGCUGGUCUGAGAGGAUGACCAGCAACACGGGAACUGAGACACGGUCCAGACUACUACGGGAGGCAGCAGUGGGGAAUAUUGCGCAAUGUGCGACAGCCUGAUGUAUCCAUGCCGAGUGUAUGAAGAAUGCCUUCGGGUUGUAAAGUCCUUUCAGCGGGGAGGCGUUACCCGUAGAAGAAGCACCGGCUAACUCCGUGCCAGCAGCCGCGGUAAUAC